GCUGUUGCGCUCUCCUACCCGCUGAUUGCCGACCACCGACCGCCGCCUCCCCUACCCGCCGUCGACUGCCGCCUCCAGAACGAGAGUACUACCCGCCGCCGACCACCGACCGCCGUCCGCCGUGUCCAGAACUAGAGUGCUACCCGCCGUUACUGAUGAUGAACCAGAGAAGUUGUUAAACGAUGAUUGCGAGCCAAUUACUACUACCUGCCGCUGUAUCCCCAACAAGACAUAUCAAGUUGAAUUAGAGUCAAUGACAAUGAGACUAGAAGAGGAGAAUGAGCCCCUUCUUCGAUGCUUUAAAGACUAGGGAAGGAUUCGCGUGGUCAGAAGAGUGCCAGGCCGCGUUCGAAUGACUUAAGACAUAUCCGCUUUCCCCUCCACUAUUAUCCAAACCAGUGGAGGGUGAGACGUUGUUUCUUUAUUUGGUCACCUCUCAGCAGGCUGUUAGCUCGGUACUAGUCUGAGAGGAAGACAAUGUUUAGCAUCCAAUAUAUUAUGUGAGUAGGCCCUUGAAAGCUGUUGAAAUUCGUUACUCGCCACUUGAAAAAGUGUUCUACGCGCUGGUCAUCACCGCCAGGAAGCUGGUCCCUAUCCGAGUGUUGACAGAUCAACCGUUGGCUGGAGUAUUCAGGAACCCGACUUCUUCCGGUCGGUUAGUCAAUUGGGUUGUCAAGCUCACCCAGUAUGGGAUCGAAUAUCAGCCUCACCCUGCCAUCAAAGCCCAAGUAUUGGCCGACUUUAUAGUCGAGUGCACGGCUCUAAACUCGAAAGACGACUUUGUGACCAUUCUCGAGUCCGAGGGAUGGUUGGAAAUGCAUGCAGAUUGUGCUUCCAACCAAAAGCACCAUGGGGGACGAGUAAUGGUAACUAUCCCAGAAGGCUUUCGAUUGUACUAUGCCUUGGAGUAUCAAUUCAAAACUUCUAACAAUGAAGCCGAGUAUGAGGCCGUCCUUGGCGGGUUACGAGUGGCUAAAGCCUUAGGAACCAUGAAACUUCGCAUUCGAACCGACUCACGUUUGGUAGUCGGGCAAAUGAAAGGAUCUUAUGAGACAAAGGGAGAAAGGAUGAUGCAAUACAAGGAAGGACUGAGGGACUCCUAAAGGAGUUUUAAGCCUAUGAGUGUGAUACCCUGAUUUGUUUUUUUGUUAAGGAAAUUAAUUAUUUAGUUGGGAAUAGCAUUAAUCUUUUGAGCAUAAAAGAAUAAGUAUUAGUUUUUGUUUUUAUAGUGAUUUGAACACUUAACCCUCCCCUUUAAUUCUAAGUUCUAUACCACCAA